rnacentral:lncRNA from 1 species
AAAGAUUGAGAAUGGCGUGAGCAAGCUUGCUCUGCAGCCAUGGAUGAGUUCUUCAUUUAUACUAACUUCAACGGUAAAAACCGAUUACACUGUUUAACCAAACGGUAAGUAAAACAGUAACAAAGAUAAGCGUAAACGCAGCGUUUGAAGACAACGCUUUACACAAUGACUUAACGGACUACUCCUCCCUUGACGCCAUUAGUGAACUCUUCAUUCCUUCCGUUAAUAUUCAAAGCAACUGCAGAAUGGUCAUCUUCCUCAUCCUUCCUUGCAGCUGCUACUGCUUCCUUCAUUCCACUCUUCUCAUUCAAUAGUGUUCGUUGAAUAUGUCCCAUUCUACUCCUCAAAAGCCAUGGUCUCUGCAUCCUCCUCACCUGUAUUGGUCAACCUCCCCAAUUUUGGUGAUGAGGAUGGUCCGAAUUCUGAUGAUUCUCCCUCAACAGAGACCCUCGACCAACCUGAUAAUGUUUUGCAUGGGGAGCAUGCAGAUCAUGCUUUGCAUGAUAAUGUUUU